rnacentral:lncRNA from 1 species
GAAAAACGAAAAGAAAAAAAAAACUCGAGGAAAAAACUUAAAUCUGUUGACUGGACAGCGGAGGCAAUGAUUUAGUGGCCUAUAAAAGGCCACUUCCCGGACCUAAAACCCCAACCAACGAUCUUAAAAAGGAGAAACCCCCGAUGGAAGUCGUAAAAGUUUUCGGCAUGAGUAUAUCGUGUCAGUUGUCGUGUCAUGUCAUGACCUCCUGGAACAUUUUAUGGCCGCUCCGGAAACGAGAAAAACGGGUGACAGCAAUUCAAUUCCCAUCCCCACGAACACGAACUCCCCGCGCCACUUGAUCCCCAUUUGAUUUGUCAAAUGCUCCAGACAUCAGAGACGUUGAUAUUCGGGGGCAAAAGUACACAUAUUUUUAGCGAAGCAAAAAAGGGUUCCCACAUCGGCCUCACCAGCAAUGACACUUGUAGCAGACAUGGGACAUCUUGGAAUACCGGGCGGAACCUUGUACACCCUUUUCCUCUUAAAAAUACAGCAGUGAAUACGAGAGCACAUGGAGCACUUAAGUCAAAUUGACUAACAUCCUUACCUGGACAAAUAAUAAUAUUCGAGUUGCAUCUCUUGUAUUGAUACAGU